AAUUGUGGUAGCCAUUCGCAGACUAGGACUGCGUCACCAACUUAGAACUAAAUAUAAACGCAGACGAUAAUUUAGCGUACGCUGCCUAGUGGCAGCUGUCGACCUUAAGCAACUCGCGACUUAAGAACUCGGCAUCAAAAUUAGCGAGGACCUUUAUCUUCAAAGCUUUGAGAAGAUAAAAGAUUUAUGAAGCUACCAAAAUCAGGAGCCUGUCUGUCGGCGCCUGAUGGCGGGAACAGCGUGGUAACGCCACGCAGAGUAGACCGACUGUAAUGGGAGAGACUGCAAUGGAAGGACUUUCGGACGCGGGUUCGAUUCCCGCCAGCUCCAUCC
rnacentral:tmRNA from 1 species